GGCAGUUCUCGGGUGAUGCACCCCGGAAUCUGGCUCCCUCCUCUCUGGUUCCAGGGUGCAUCACCCGAGAACCACU
rfam:Myotis lucifugus cont2.19099, whole genome shotgun sequence.